rnacentral:lncRNA from 1 species
GUGUAAACUAAAGGAAGACUAUCAGGCUUCUGGGAGAUCUCAAAAUGAAUGUCAUGCUCACAAAAAGCGCCAGACAGGAAACUAAAGUCUUGUGCUUAUUCCAAGUCUCUAAAUCACUGUAAUAAACACAGGCUUGGUAAAAGAAGGGGGCAG